rnacentral:rRNA from 1 species
CCUACGGUGUGCAGCAGUGGGGGAUAUUGCACAAUGGGGGGAACCCUGAUGCAGCGACGCCGCGUGGGUGAAGGAGUGCUUCGGCAUGUAAAGCCCUAUCGGCAGGGAAGAAGCAAGACGGUACCUAACUAAGAAGCACCGGCUAACUACGUUCCAGCAGCCGCGGUAAUACGUAGGGGGCGAGCGUUAUCCGGAUUGACUGGGUGGAAAGGGAGCGUAAGCGGCCAUGCAAGCCAGGGGUGAAAGCCCGGGGCCCAACCCCGGGACUGCGCUUGGAACUGCAUGGCGGGAGUGCGGGAGGGGCAGGCGGAAUUCCUGGUGUAGCGGUGAGAUGCGUAGAUAUCAGGAGGAACAUCGGCGGCGAAGGCGGCCUGCUGGACCGAGACUGACGUUGAGGCUCGAAAGCGUGGGGAGCGAACAGGAUUAGAUACCCGGGUAGUC